ACGGGGGCCCGCACAAGCGGCGGAGCAUGUGGCUUAAUUCGACGCAACGCGAAGAACCUUACCAAGGCUUGACAUACACCGGAAACACCUAGAGAUAGGUGCCCCCUUGUGGUCGGUGUACAGGUGGUGCAUGGCUGUCGUCAGCUCGUGUCGUGAGAUGUUGGGUUAAGUCCCGCAACGAGCGCAACCCUUGUCCCGUGUUGCCAGCAGGCCCUUGUGGUGCUGGGGACUCACGGGAGACCGCCGGGGUCAACUCGGAGGAAGGUGGGGACGACGUCAAGUCAUCAUGCCCCUUAUGUCUUGGGCUGCACACGUGCUACAAUGGCCGGUACAAAGAGCUGCGAUACCGUGAGGUGGAGCGAAUCUCAAAAAGCCGGUCUCAGUUCGGAUUGGGGUCUGCAACUCGACCCCAUGAAGUCGGAGUCGCUAGUAAUCGCAGAUCAGCAUUGCUGCGGUGAAUACGUUCCCGGGCCUUGUACACACCGCCCGUCACGUCACGAAAGU
rnacentral:rRNA from 1 species